UACGGGGGGGGCAAGCGUUGUUCAGAAUUACUGGGCGUAAAGGGCUCGUAGGCGGCCAACUAAGUCAGACGUGAAAUCCCUCGGCUUAACCGGGGAACUGCGUCUGAUACUGGAUGGCUUGAGUGUGGGAGAGGAAUGCGGAAUUCCAGGUGUAGCGGUGAAAUGCGUAGAUAUCUGGAGGAACACCGGUGGCGAAGGCGGCAUUCUGGACCAUUACUGACGCUGAGGAGCGAAAGCCAGGGGAGCAAACGGG
rnacentral:rRNA from 1 species